rnacentral:rRNA from 1 species
UACAGAGGGGGCAAGCGUUGUUCGGAAUUACUGGGCGUAAAGGGCGCGUAGGCGGCCUGUUAAGUCGAACGUGAAAUCCCCGGGCUCAACCCGGGAACUGCGUCCGAUACUGGCAGGCUUGAAUUCGGGAGAGGGAUGUGGAAUUCCAGGUGUAGCGGUGAAAUGCGUAGAGAUUUGGAGGAACACCAGUGGCGAAGGCGACUUUCUGGUCUGUAACUGACGCUGAGGCGCGAAAGCGUGGGGAGCAAACAGG